AGGAAGACGAUGAGGCUCUCAUGCUUC
rnacentral:piRNA from 1 species